ACAUCGGCGUAACCGAUGCGUCUCUGGAAAUCUGUUUAUAUUCAAAAUAGUUUAUUUAGAAUUCAUUGUUUGAUAUAAAUGUGGGUCUUCUUACUUGUAUCGGUAGUUGCUUUGGUAAAGUCGCAGAAAACCAUUUCGACGGAUGAAGUACCCAUGAUGGGGUACGCCCCGCUGAUGGUGUACAAGACCGGGGAAUGGUGGGCGUCGCUGAUUGUCGGGUGGCGAUCUCAGCGCUUGUUCCAGAAUUUUGUUUUUGUAGGGCGGACAGUUGCGAUUUCUGUUCGAUAGCUUCUAUUUCCAUGCGACGAGUUUUCGCUUCCAGUCGAAUUACUUGAGCCUCUAACGUUUUACUACUUUUCAUCUGCCAAUUGAACAUUAAUCGGUUAACACAUGUUUAUUAAUUUCAUCUUAGAAAUUCGCAGUAGAUGGACUUACAUUUUCGCGUUCCAAAGCAUCUAGUCUUCGAUCUUUUUCAGCCAGAAGUUGCUGCAUUUCAAUCUGAAUUCAUCGUAGUUACAUUGUUGCUCGACAGUCGAUUCGGCGAUUACACACGCCAAAAUCAGCACACCCACAAGCAAUGAAUUGAAAAAGCGAGCCAUGGUUUCAAUUGGACAGGGCGUGAUACCAACGCGUUGCGGACUUCGUCUACAUUUGAAUCACAAAAGAGUCAUCGUAAUUUAUAGGUGGUCGGGGAUAAUGCAAAUAAGGGAUAACGUUUAUUGGCCUCGCUGAAAGCGCCAAGCGCAUAGUUGCGAGCCGCACAGGUGGGGUUUACCAACUGUGUGGAUGGUGGAGCCAUCUAUAAUAAAACUACACCUACGUGGUUGGUGUGCUAUCUACACAAAAAGUCUCACAUUGUAUGGAUGUUCACGCCAUCUACUGGAAAGCUGCCACACUAUGGAUAUGCCUGCAAAUGAAAAUUGUAUAAUUAUGUGAAGCCAUCUAUUGGAAAUUGUGUGAUGUCGAUUAUGGAGCUGUCUGUGUGAAUGUUGUAUAACUAAGAGUGCAUUUGUACGAAAAUGCCUUAGUAAGUGGAGCCAUCAAUGCGACGGUUGUACGACUGUUGAUAGUGAAGCCAUCUAUGCGACGGUUGUACGACUGUUGAUAGUGGAGCCAUCUAUGCGAAAAUUGUACAACUAUUGAUAGUGGAGUCAUCUAUGCGAAAAGUGUAAAACUAUUGAUAGUUGAGCCAUCUAUGCGAAAAUUGUACGACUGUUGAUAGUGGAGCCAUCUAUGCGAAAGUUGUACGGCUGUUGAUUGUGGAGCCAUCUAUUGAAAAUAUGUAUUACUACUGGCUACAUAUAUGUAAUUAUGAAAUAAUUCACAAUAAAAUCAU